rnacentral:rRNA from 1 species
AUUGAACGCUGGCGGCAGGCUUAACACAUGCAAGUCGAGCGGGGUGAUGGUGCUUGCACUAUCACUUAGCGGCGGACGGGUGAGUAAUGCUUAGGAAUCUGCCUAUUAGUGGGGGACAACAUCUCGAAAGGGAUGCUAAUACCGCAUACGUCCUACGGGAGAAAGCAGGGGAUCACUUGUGACCUUGCGCUAAUAGAUGAGCCUAAGCCGGAUUAGCUAGUUGGUGGGGUAAAGGCCUACCAAGGCGACGAUCUGUAGCGGGUCUGAGAGGAUGAUCCGCCACCCUGGGACUGAGACACGGCCCAAACUCCUACGGGAGGCAGCAGUGGGGAAUAUUGGACAAUUGGGGGAACCCUGAUCUAGCCAUGCCGCGUGUGUGAAGAAGGCCUUAUGGUUGUAAAGCACUUUAAGCGAGGAGGAGGCUCUUUUGGUUAAUACCCAAGAUGAGUGGACGUUACUCGCAGAAUAAGCACCGGCUAACUCUGUGCCAGCCGCCGCAGUAA